AGGGAUGUAGCUCAGUGGUAGAGUGCAUGCUUAGCAUGCGUUGAGGUCCUGGGUUCGAUCCCCAGCAUCUCCA